UGCAACAAGCUGAAGUGCGAGUGUAGGCAGUAACGUUUCGUGAGUGCGUGAGUGCAUGAGUGACAUUGACGUGACGUCUUUUCUUAUUUUUGUGUCUUAAAAGUGAUUGCAUUGUGACAGUGGGUGGUGUUACAUGUUAUAUUACGAUCAGUGAGCAUAGGAAACUUAGAAUACGCAGAAACAUUGGAGUAUAGAUUACGAAACUUGGCCUCGUGUUUCAGGGCAGUUGCAAUGUGAAUGCGAUGUCAGCAUGUUAAGGGACUGAAAAAUAUUACGGAAAAUCUCUAAAGACAGCAGGCGCCAAGACCCACAACUGAAUCCAGAACUUCAGAAAACGAGGUCCUGGAAAGGAGGAGGAAUGGCUCUAAACCAAAUGGAAGCAAGUAUUUCG